rnacentral:misc_RNA from 1 species
GAAAUAUUGAAUUUGUUGAGUUUUUGGUGCUCAUUUUGUUUGUGGGUUAAAAUAUUUUGUUGGGGUUAUCAGAAGUUGUAUCUGGGAACUCAAAAUAUUCCAACUUUAUUUGUGGGUUUUUGUUUCUAGUGGCUGCAAUGUUGAAUUUGAUGAGUUUUAGGUGCCUAAUUUGUUUUGGGUGCAAAUAUUUGAGUUGGGGUUAUGGAUAUUUGUCAAAUUUUCUAGUUAUUCAUUUCAUUUCUAUUGAAAGGUUGAUGAAAUUGCAUAUGAAUUGGAAUGAUGGCAAUGGCAAUGGGUAUGGGUAGAUUUGAUGAAUUUGCUACUGGCAUUUAGCUUUGGGUUGCUGGAUCUGCUCAUAUUAUGCUUGGUUGACUUGAUUUUGUUAUUUACUAUUCCAUUUCAAAUCUUGAUAGUUUUGUUAUGUUGGAUAUAUUCCUAAUCUGAGUCUGAUAUGGAGUUUAAUGCAUUUUUUGUUGGGCAUUUCAAAUUGUGGCAAAAAAAUUAAUGUCAAGUGGUGAUGUUUGAAUUCAUCUGUAGUUUAUUGAUGGAUGACGACGGCUUGAACAUGAGGAACUGGGGUUAUUAUGAACCUUCCCUUAAAGGGCAUCUAGGUCUUCAGCUGAUGUCAUCGAUGGUUGAUCGAGAUGCAAAACCUUAUCUUACUAGGCGUGAGAAUCCAAUUAUGCUCGGUGCUAAUGGGGUGUUCCAUUCCCG